rnacentral:rRNA from 1 species
CAGCAGCCGCGGGAAUACGUAGGGUGCAAGCGUUAAUCGGAAUUACUGGGCGUAAAGCGUGCGCAGGCGGUUUGUUAAGACAGAUGUGAAGUCCCCGGGCUCAACCUGGGAACUGCAUUUGUGACUGGCAAGCUAGAGUGUGGCAGAGGGGGGUGGAAUUCCGCGUGUAGCAGUGAAAUGCGUAGAGAUGUGGAGGAACACCGAUGGCGAAGGCAGCCCCCUGGGCCAAUACUGACGCUCAUGCACGAAAGCGUGGGGAGCAAACAGGAUUAGAUACCCCAGUAGUCCCUGUCUCUUAUAC